AAAAUAAAACACUUCUUUAACUGGUUCAACAGAGCAUAAACUAAUUAUUAUGUCUGAUAUCCAUUUUUUUGUUAUCUAGACCUAUAUCAGAAAUUAAAACACAAGUGUUUUUGAAGUGCCAUAGUGUUUCAUACAAGACAAUCAUAAAAUGUCUACAUCAAAACCAUAUUCACAAUAUUUGAAGUGCCAUUGUGUUUCAUGAAGUUUAUUGGUAAAAUGGAUUAAUAACUCAGGUGUUGUAUCAGUUUAAGAACUUGGAGAUUUUGGAAAGCAAUAGAAAGUUAAUAUUCAAUAUAUCUUACAAUUUUCGAGCGUGACGAGUAGUCGAUUGAUCGAUCUUCUUUUGCCUUUUUGUAUCUCCAAUUAGUUCUGAUCCAAUCCUAGAAAAAGAGUUGUUGAUAACUUAUCUAUAAAGCAGAUUCCACUUAAGAAAGGAUAAAAAUUCAAAGGGAGAUUUAGAAAAAUGUUUAUUGAAAAAUACCUGAUAAAGAUUGAAGUAGGAUUAAGCUAACAAGAAAAGAUUAAUAUGAACAUAAUUAACUUGGAACAAUGAGGAAAUGUUUGUGUCAUACUAGAGAACAAGAUUGGUGGAUGAAUAAUUAUGGUUUAACCAAAGGACUGGAUCUAAAUCCUACAAAAAAGGCAAUGGUAAUUUUAUUUAAUGAAUAAUUUUGGGUUUAUCAUAUUAAUUUUUAGACAGCUAAUACAUUGUCAGGUUAAUAUGCAUUCCCUUUGGCUUUCAAAGUCAAUGGUUGCAUUAUUUAAUGAAAUAACAUGGCUUAUGCUAUAUGCAGAGAGACAACUAAUUAAUUGGAAGGUUGGUAUCCAUUCCCAAUGAUUAAUCAAAGUGUGUGGAAGGAGAGGACAGUUGGCUACAGAGACAACUAAUUAAUUGACUACCUGAACUUUCACAUUGUCCUUUAUUAAUCACAUUGUCGUUCUAAUUACUGCAAAUAAAUCAGUUCUACUUAUUUAGUCUUAUAAUUCACACUGGUAAGUCAUAGUUUGAUGGAUAAAUUCAGAGACGUGCGCCACCAUUGUCCUCCUGGAAAGCUGAGUAGGGGUUUGACAACAAGUCAUGAUAUGUAUUUGGCUUCAUAUGAUGCUCAAACUCUCCAAAAAAAUUGUUGUGCCCAUGUCGGAUCCUCCAAAAAUGUAAUAUGUGGAAGUGACCACAUUUUUGAAGAGCGUGAACAGCAUAGAUGCAAAUUAGAUUUCAUACAGGAAUACUCAUCUUUCAAUUCAACUUAGUAUUCUCUGGAGGUGUUUUUUGUAUUCAACCAGAAAAACAACUUGUGUACAUAUAAGGUGUAAGAUGAAGGGAUUAUAGAAAUUAACAACCACCUAAUUAGAAAAACAGAAACGAAACAAUGAUUUUGACAGUGAUACAGAAGGCAACAGUAAAAGAUCAUCUGAUAAAAAGAGUUGAUCAAUCAAAACAAACUUAGCAAUCGGUACUGGUGUUACAAUAUAAGAGGAUGAGCAUGUACGUUACAAUAGACUCUCUGAGCUUUUGCUGCAGUUGUCAAAUUCAAACAAAUCCUCAUGCUCAAUUAAGCGAAAGCAAGCAUUGAAUUCCAUUGUUGACAAGCACAUACUUGAUUCACAGCAGCCUUAUAUUGCUUCCCCCAUAAUCCUGUAUUGAACCCAGGAGAAAAGCUCGGUAUUUCAGAAAAUUCAGACCGAAGGAGAAAAUGGAAGAAACGACACCGUUAAAUGUACCGAGGAUAAAGCUAGGGUCACAAGGACUAGAAGUUUCCAGGAUCGGGCUAGCUGUAUGAGUAUGUCCGGUAACUACGGCCCGCCCAAGCCCGAGCUUGAAAUGAUCAAGCUACUUCAUCACGCUAUUGAUACUGGAGUGACCUUACUCGAUACUUCUGAUGUCUAUGGACCUCUCACUAAUGAAAUCCUCAUUGGUAAGGUGAAGAUCCUUUUUUAAAACAAGUAAUUAGUUGUACUUCUUGCUUACUUUGGUGUACCUGUCUGAUCCUGUAGUGAUUUUAUUGUUCACUGCGAAAAAAAUGAAAUUUUAUGAUUAAUUCUAUGAAUUUUCAGGUUUAAUUGGAGUUAAAGUAGAUAUCUUUAUCUUUUUUAAAGUGUAAUGAAAUCCAUUUAAUAAUCCUCUACAAAAAAGUAUGGAGUUUUUACCAAACGGGUGUCCUAGUGGUCGAUGAUGUGGGUCGAGAACCAUGAGAUUUCAGGUUCAAAUGGUAGUGAAGGCAAAAAUUAGGUGGAUAGAGUUGUGGGUACCCCUUGGAAUGACUUGGAAUAGUUGAGGUUCAUGCAAGCUAAGCUGGGACACUGCGGUAGUUAAAUGAAAGUAUGGACUUUUUGUAUCUAAAUAGUAACAAGUAUAUCCUUUCUAGAUUCUUGAUUUUAGAUUUGAGUUCAAGAUUAGCAGUUUUAGAUUUUUUUUACCUUAGAGUCUGUAAAAUAUAUUAUUUUCUGCAAUCUUGUAGUUAGAAAUUAGUCAUCAAAGCAUAAAAAAGAUAUUAGUAAUAUAUAGCCUUUGGUUAUUUACAAUAUAGGUUGCUCUUCCUGCACUUGCUUGUUGAGAGUUGUCGAUUUUUCAAUGUUAUCAUAUGGGUUAGAAUUGUUUAUGCUUAAUGCGAAUUCAAGUUGUACUUUUUCAUCUGAUACCAUGGCCGCUAAACACUCUAUAAAGUAGAGCAUUUAUCCUGUUCUUCUAUAUACUUGAUUUACAUAAAACUUGGAGUAUCUCAAACUGAUAAAUCUUCCAGAGACUCGAAUCUGUAUCCUCGUAAAUCUAUGCUUUACAUUUUGAACCUGAGUUUUACAGGUAUAUAAUAUGUUCAUGUUAAACUACCUGAUUUCAUGUAGGCUAUUAAAGGCAUAAGAGAGAAAUUACUAAUAGCUACCAAGUUUGGAAAUAGGGGCAUUUGUGGUGAACCUGCAUAUGUAAGGGCUUGUUGGGAGGCCAGCUUGAAGAGACUGGAUAAUGACUGCAUUGAUACUCAGUUGCCAAUUGAAGUCACGGUUCAACAUCUUUGCUCCAAAAAAUUAUUUUUCCAGUGUACUUCCAUCACUUUUAAGUUUUAAGAAGUAGUCAUGUUGUAUGAUUUGUGUGUCUAAUCAGGUGAAUCCUAUUUCAUUGAUCGUCGCAUAUAGAGCUUUUCCCCAAGUUUGCCAUCCAAAAGCACUACUCAUACUUGGUUUGAUUGGUAUAUCAACCCAUGUUUUAUGUGACAAACCUUGUUAAGUCUAUGCUACUCUUUUCAUUUUUGCUUCUCGUUGUAUUUAUGCUUUUUUUUUUUAUAGUCAUUCUACGAACUUCUUCAAUCUAUGAUAAACACUUUCAUAACAAGUUAUCUCUGAAAUACUUAUAAUUGGAAAUGAUUUUCAAGACAACAGGUUAUCCCAACAUUUGUGAAGUUGAUUUAGUGAUGUCGUUUCAUAAAAUAGUUUCUCGCAAUUAGGUUAUUGUCUUGUCAUUCAGAUCCUCUGAUUUAUGCAAUUAUCUGAAGGUAGUAAUUUCAAUAUUAUCUAUGUGAUGCAUAACUGCGGAAUCUGCAGUAUCAUUACUCUAUUUACCAAAUUGUGCUGUAUAUGUUCUAACUAGUAUCUGGAACGUGCGUUGCACGUUUAUCCCUUAUUAGUUUUAUUAAAAAAAAGGGAUAAUGCAUAAGUACCCCCCCAGCCUAUGCCCGAAAAUCCCAGAGACACACCUAACCUUUACUAAGGUCCUAUUACCCCCCGAACUUAAUUUAUCUAUAAUAUUCUACCCCUUUUCGGCCUACGUGGCACUAUCUUGUGGGCCCAGUGCACGUUGACAAAUUUUUCAAGGAUAGUGCCACGUAGGCCAAAAAGGGGUAGAAUAUUAUAUAUAAAUUAAGUUCGGGGGGGUAAUAGGACCUUAGUAAAGGUUAGGUGUGUCUCUGGGAUUUUCGGGCAUAGGCUGGGGGGUACUUAUGCAUUUUCCCUAAAAAAAAUUAUAUUUAUAAAGUUCAAUUAUAAAAUAAGAAAUGCAGAAAUUAACAAUUUUAAUUCUGAUUUAGUCUCUAAUGAUAUGGAUAUGUCAAUGAAUAGCUAGUUUUUUCCAGAACAAACAACUCAGUUAUUGAAGUAGUUUGCAAUGAGUUUCUACUCGAAAAAAUAAUAAAUAAUACAUGUAAAAGUCUUUGACGAAAGUAGCAAAGACAUGAAGAAGAAAUAAAUUUAAUUCUAGUUAUUGCUGAAAUCACAAAUAUAAAGAAUAUUUUUCAUUUUUUCUGGUGCUUAUAUGAAUUGCAUUCUUUUUCUUUUUUUAUAUACAGUACUAUUCUUUAAGGGUGUGUUUGGUAUGAAGGAAAACAUUUUUUCAUGUUUGGUUGGAUUAAAUGUUUUGGAAAAUGUUUUCCAAAUCAACUCAUUUUCCUCAAAUUUAAGGAAAAUGACUUCCCUUCAAAACUUAAGGAAAACAUUUUUCAAAACUCUCUUCCAACUUCAAAUUACAAUUACUGUUUUGUUGAAAAAAUCAAUUUAUUUUGUCCAUACCCUCAAAUCACUCCCCCAGCCACCCCCUCCCCCCCCCACAAGAAAAAUAAAAUAAAAUCUAAAGAUUGUUUUUAAAUUCAAUUUUUUUACCCCACCUUUACCCCAUCCCCUCCCAAAAAAAUAUUUAAAAUUAUUUUUAAAAGAUAUUUCUAAUUUCAAUUUUUUAUUUUUUUUACCCCCACCCACUACCCUCGCCCUAGUUAUUGCUGAAAUCACAUAUAUUAAGAAUAUUUUUCAUUUUUCCAGGUGCUUAUAUGAAUUGCAUUCUUUUUUUUUUAUAUAUACAAUACUAUUCUUUAAGGGUGUGUUUGGUGUGAAGGAAAAUGUUUUCCAAUUUUUUCAUGUUUGGUUGGAUUAAAUGUUUUGGAAAAUGUUUUCUAAAUCAACCCAUUUUCCUCAAAUUUAAGGAAAAUGACUUUCCUUCAAAACUUAAGGAAAACAUUUUCCAAAACUCUCUUCAAGACAACAGGUUAUCCCAACAUUUGUGAAGUUCCAUCCCUAGUUGAGUAGUGUUAAUUAUUGUGUAGGGUUUUUAUAUUUUUAGUCUAAUAUACUACUAAUUAUAUUAAUAUUUUUUAUUUAAUCUAUUAUAUAUGUAUAACUAAAAAUUAAAAUAGUAAAUUAUUAUAUUCUUAAUGGGUUAUCGGUUAAGCCAAUAACUCAAUAUUAAAAAACCAAUAACGAACCGAUAACCCGAUAAUUCUUUUUGUAAAAUCAUUAAAUAACCGUUAACCCAAUAACCCAAUAACAAUAAACCAAUAACACUUUUUUCGGUUCGAUUUAUCGGUCGGUUCGGUUUUUGCACACCCCUAAUAAAUAGUUCUAAUUUAAAGAUAAUCAUUCUUUUUUCAUAUCAAGCACUAUACUGCUAAACAUACUAAGAUUGAGGUUUAAACCACACCUACAUAUAUUAAAACAAAAGAUAUACCUGGAAAAAAAAAGAAUCUCUAGCAUAAUGAAAAUGAUUGGAAGAUGGGAGAAAGAAAACUUAUUGUAUACCUUUAUAGAGUUUUGUAAUAUAAAGAAUAUGAAAAGGUUGUGGGAGAAAAUUAUUAAUGAAAAAAAUUAUAUAAACAUUGAUCAACACUAACUAAGAAAAAUAUGAUUAGAAACGUUUUUGGAUUGUAAUCAAGUAGAUUAUGACUGUCCAUCUUCAAUCUUUAAGUAUUGAAUUUAGUGUAAAGCAUUAAAUGCUGUUGGAAUGAGUUUAACUGGAGAAACUAAAAGGAUCAAUAAUUAAAGCUCAACAAAAAAUAGAAAAUUGUUUAGCAUUUUCUAAUUUAAAAAAUUAGUGAAGGGCAUUUUAGUAAUUCAACUUUGAACUCAAAAUCUUCCCACUUUUAUUAUAAUAUGAUCAACUAGUUGUGUGAUAUGAUAAAACAUCAAAGAGAGAAAAAAACGAGAAUGCAAAUUGAAAUGUGAAUAAUCUCUAGUGGUGAGUGUUCUCCUUUUCAAUAAGUCUUACGCGAUGAAAAUUUAAAUUAGUCAGAUUAUUUGGUAUAGAUACUAAAUGAGACGAGAAAGAUGAGAUUGUACAUCAUGAGCUAGAUCUAAGAUUUAGGCAAGAAAAGAAAAGGCAAUCUGUAAAAGAGAAAAGUGAAUAAUCUCUGCAAUAACAAGCGUUUCCACCUUUAUUAAGCAAAUCAAAAUUUUGAAGAAUGUACCUAUUAUCACGAGAUAGAUCUAGAGGUUAGCCAUCAGAUCUCAACUCAUUCCAUAGAGUGUGGUAGGAAUUAGGAUAGAUGAUAUCUAGCUAUCAAAUUAUAUCCUAAACAAAAAUAUUUAAUUUGAGCGCUCUAGAGAUGUAUCUGAAUUAAUUGGAUCAGUGAAUUACAAAUACAUAUGAAAUGAUUAAACAGAAAGAAAAAAAAAUUCAUCUAAAUUUAACAUACUUACAAUGAGAAAAACUUGAAGAUCACCUCCUCAAUCUGCCAAAAGCCUCCCUAAUAGAAGAUAUCACACAUAAUAAUAGGAGUAUUUAAAUAAGAAAAAAAUUUCAUUGAGCAUUUAUUACUUAACAGAUAGAGUCAAUGAGAGAAGAAUAUUGACUAAUGACUAUAUUAAAGAAUUAAUUAAUCAUGGAUUAAGUUUAAUUAAAUUAGAUUCUCUAUUCAUACAGUUGGUUAUGAUGUUGAGAUAAUUUUGUUAUUAACAAUUCUAGGUUUAGUACUGUUUAAUAAAUCAUUAUAAUCUUUGACCAUUUAUCAUCCCUUUCUCAUCUGUAAAUUUUUUAUUUUUUAUUUUGAUGAAAAAUAAAUAAAAAGUGGUAAGUUAGUGUAAAUGUAAAAGUUCAUAAUCAUAUAUUGGAAAAUUUAGCAGUCAUUUGGUACUUGGUAGGUGUAUAUAGCAAGGAGGUCUGAUACACAAAUAUAUUAUACGUGAGUAAGUUAGUUAUACGAAAACGUUAUAUAUUAAACACAAAUAUAUUAUAUGUGAGUAAGUUAAUUAUACGAAAACGUUAUAUAUUAAUUUAUGAUGAUAGGGUAUAUGAAAUAAUAAUAAAAGACUAAAUUUUUAUUCCAUUUAAAAAAUAACCACAUUUUAUAAAUUGUUAAAAAUUAUAUAAACGAAAAUUAAAUUGUAAAUGGUAUUCCAAUUAUAGUUUAUAAAAUUGGGGCAUCCAAUAUUAAUAGGUGUACAUCUAGUCAAUUUUUCUAUGACUACAUAGUAUUGUAUAAAAUUUCAUGGAAUUGUUAUUUUCUCCAUUGACUCAUGACUAAUUGUAAUUGAUAUUCGAAAUUCUUUUGAUAUGCUAAGUUGUUGAUCAACUAUAAGGUAGCAAAGGUCACUCUUAAAAGUGUAGUUUUAUGAUACGAAAAUCGUUAUCAUAUGACGGAGAAUUCAUAUAUCUAACAUUUGAAAAACAUGACUUUAGGGCAAAGAUUACGCUAAUUUAUGCUACCGUAUGGGCAGAGAAGGAGAGUUCAUAUAAAUUUCUAAUCAAUAGAAAUUUGUUGGAAAUUUGACAAAAGGAAACUUCAAAAAGUACAUUCAUCUAGAAUUUGGACAAGUCCUUUGUAAGAAAAGUAAAAAGUAAAAUAUUUGAACUUGUCAAUUAAUUAACUACAAAGACAACAGACUAUUUUUCAACACAUUAUUGAUUAUCUUCAUGUUUCAAUUUAGAAUCAAACCAGAAACCAUUUUGUAGGUACUAUAGUCAGACCUCCAUCCUUUAUAAUAAUAUUUUACUAUCAUAACUAUAUUUUUGUGAUAAUCAAUCUUUCAUAUUAUAUUAUAUAUACUAUAUGUUAUUAUUACAUAUCAAUUUGUUAUACUAGUCAAAACCAAUAUCGAAUCAAACAACAUUGUUAAGAAAAGAGAUUUUGACUAUAGAAUAAAAAAGGUCUACAUGUUUUCUGGGUCAAAGAUAACCUUAAAUACUUGUCUUUCCAGGUGUAAAGAACACAUUGUCAUUUAGUACACAUGCUAGUCGAUAAAUUCACGCUAAGUAAAUUUAUUCAAAGUAAAACAUUAUCUAUUAAUCAAAUAUUUUAUAUUUAGAGCUCGAACUCUACCCCUUUAUUCCCUUCAAAUUUCAUAUCUAGUCAAACACAAUUUGACAUCAAAGUAAGUAACGUAAAAAAUCCUUUAUCUCCAUUUCUCAUUAUCAUUUGUAAAUUGAAUUCCUUUACUUUAUAACCAUUUUAUGGUUCAUAAUGAGUUUCCUCUCACAUUCAUACCAUACCAAUACAAUGUCACUAUCCAAAGACCUUUCUUACCUAAAUACUUGCCUCAACGUUGUUUUUUGAUGGAAUUCGUCGAUUUAAAGAGACUAAAGGAAUUAUUGUUAACACUUUUUUCGAGCUUGAAUCGUUUUCUCUUCAGGCUCUUUGGGGUUCUAAGAUGGUUCCAAAAAUUUAUCCAGUUGGUCCAGUGGUUAGUUUUGAAAAAAGUGGUCAUUUUCGAAAUAAUUCAUUGGAGAUUGAAAGUAUUAUUAAGUGGUUAGAUGAUCAACAUGAUUCCUCAGUUGUAUUUUUGUGUUUUGGUAGUAUGGGAAGUUUUGAAGCAGAACAGAUCAAAGAAAUAGCAAUUGCACUGGAGCAUUGUGGUCACAGGUACUAUUAGUUGUAUUUUUUUUUACCCUCCUGUUUCAAGUUUCUUGUCUGGUUUACAUGUAGCACAUAGUUUUUUAUGAAAAUAGAAAAGAUUUUUGAAUCUUGUGGUCAGUCUGAAACGAAAGAUAGGUAGAAUAUACCAAAAUGUCUUUUAAUUUUACAGUUUUAAACAUGUCAUAUGGAAAUUUAAAGUUAAAGAGUUGUCAAAAAAGAAAACAGAAUAAAAAGAAAAAUAAGACAAACAAAUUUAAACGUCGGAGGGAAUAACAUAGUGUACAUACAUAUAAUGCAUUUGGUAAAAUGAUAAAAGGUUUCUUUAUUAUUAACCAGAGAUGUUGUGUUCGAGCCUUGUGAAUGAACUCUCAUAAUUUACAACAUUUAUGAUAAUAAGGAUUCAUUAAGGGUUGUUUUCGUGAUGCAAGUUUUUUUUUUUUUUUUUAAUCUUGAAGUGGCUUGUUAAUAUAUCUCUUUAAGGAAAGUUGUUUUCACCAAUAAUGUUCAAGACUCUCCAAAUUAAUAUUAUGUCGUGCGCACCUGUGUUGGAUUCUCCAAAAUUACUCUAUUUUUGGAAAAUCCAACACGUACAUGUCGGCAUUUUUGAAAAAUCUGAGCAACAUAAUUUUUCACACCUCAAAUAUCCAUUCCUAAUUUUGUUUUAUUGUUAUUUUCAAAUAGGUUCUUGUGGUCUUUAAGAAAAUCUCCACCAAAGGGAAAAGUAGAUAUACCAACAAGUUACAACAACUAUGAAGAAGUUUUGCCAAAAGGAUUCUUAGAGAGAACAAAAGAAAUAGGAAAAAUAAUAGGAUGGGCACCACAAGUAACAAUUUUAUCUCAUCCAUCAAUAGGAGGAUUUGUGUCCCAUUGUGGAUGGAAUUCAAUACUAGAAAGUGUACAUUUUGGUGUACCAAUUGCAACUUGGCCACUCUAUGCAGAACAACAAAUGAAUGCAUUUUUGUUAGUGAAAGAAUUAGGACUUGGUGAAGAGAUAAAAUUGGACUAUGUUGUUGAUUUUGAAGGAAAAAACAAUCAAGUUGAUAUAGCAAGUGCUCAAGAAAUUGAAAGUGGUUUAUUAAAGUUGAUGGUAAAAAGUGAAGAGAAUGAAGUGAGGAAAAAAUGAAGGAAAUGAAGGAGAAGAGUAGAGUAGCUAUGGAGGAAGGUGGAUCAUCUUAUAACUCUCUUGGACUUCUUAUUAAGGAUGUAAUCAGAAAUAUUUAAUUUUCUUAUAAUAUGAAGAAGCAAAAAGAAGAGAAGAUAUAUGGUAUUUGAGGAGAUAUGUAGUAUCAUGAUUUAUGGUCAUUUUCUUAAUAUUUGUAUACUUUUACUAAUAUUUAUUGAAUGUUUUCACUUUUCAUUAUAGUUUUAUUUAUUUAUUUUGUAUUUCUUUCAAACAAUUUUCGUGAUCCGAGUCUAUCGGAAACAUUCUUCUUACCUUAAAAAGAUAGAGGAAAAGUCCGAGUAUAAUCCACCCUCCUUAUAGACCUCACGUAAUUUAUUGAUUAUACUUGAUAUGUUAUUAUUAUAGUCGAUUCAAAGAGAAUAAAGAGCACUGAAUAUUUGUGUUUAACUAAAAUUUGAGUAUACACGCAUAUCACUUUAACGCUAGUACAAAUUAAGUAUUUAAAAGUAUAUAUAAUAUGUAUAGAAUAUUUCACUCGAUGAAGACAAAAAUUUUUAAUCAUAUUAUGUAUUAUAAUAAUUCUAUUUAAAUUUAGCACAAAAAAAAUAAUUACUCUCACAUGGAAUGCUCCUUUUCAAUUUUAAUUCCAAAAUAUUCUUUUUUUUUCCAACUAACUCUAGCCAAAUACUAGUCCAAACACCUACUGGUCAAACUUUGGUGAACGUAUGCUCUGAGCUCACUGUUCAGACGGAGAUUCGCCGGAGAAAAUGGAAACGCCGGCGAGUGAAGUUCCGAGGGUCAAAUUAGGCUCGCAAGGCCUAGAAGUUUCUAGAAUCGGGCUGGGCUGUAGAGGCAUGUCUCCCAAUCAUGGCCCGCCCAAGCCCGAGCCCGAAAUGAUCAAGCUCAUUCAACACGCCAUUGAUCGCGGCGUCACCUUCCUCGAUACCUCCGAUCAAUAUGGACCCCACAUCAAUGAACUUCUCAUCGGCAAGGUAAAAUAAAAUGUAAAAAAUUACUGCUUUAAUUUGUUGUACCUCCUUAUUUGUUGUGUUGUACCUUGCUGCUUUCCAAGUUGUAAUUACUCCCUUUGUCCCAAUUUAUAUCAAAGGUUCGAAAUAUGAUGGUUAAAACUUAAUUUUAACAGUGAAUUCGGCUAUAAAUUCUUCAAAAUGUUUAAAAUGAAAAUUUACAUAUAUGAAAACGACUAUACAAGUCGAUAUGGCUAAUGAUUCGAUAUUUAAACAAAAUUUAUGAAAUGGAGUCAAAUGGAUUAUUUUUUUUGUUCUAGAUAUCAACAACAACAUUUUCUAGAAUUAUUUGCAUCUUAUCAAAUUACUUAAAUGAAGUUUCCAAUAGCAUAGACACUAACUGAGGUACUUAAAUAUGUGCAUUCUAAAUUUUAUUUGUUUAGGCAAUCAAAGGAAUGAGAGAAAAAGUACAAAUAGCUUCCAAGUUUGGCAUAAGUUUGAUAGAAGGGAAAAUGGACAUUUGUGGUGAUCCAGAGUAUUUAAGAGCUUGUUGUGAAGCUAGCUUGAAGCGACUAGAUAUCGACUGCAUUGAUCUUUAUUAUGUUCAUCGGAUUGAUAUCCGAGUGCCUAUUGAAAUCACGGUUUGACAUCUUACUCCUAUUUUUUUUUCCAUUUAUUAUAUUUGAGGAUUUCUGGCAAACUUGUUGUAGUACUAUUCUGUUGCUAUCUGUUGUUUACACUAGUAUCUGUUGUUUCUUGUAUUUCCGUUACUUCUUUUUCUAGACUACUAUGAACUAUUUUUCCUUGAGUUGAGGGUCUAUCGAUAACAACCUUUCUAUCUCUACGAGGUAGGGGUAAGGUCUGCGUAUACACUAUCCUCACUCAGACUCCACUUUGUGGGACAACACUAGGUAUGUUGUUGUUGAUUUCUAACGAAUUGUUGGAUUGUGUGGUUUGUGUAAAGAGGUAACAGUAACCAGUUAAUCACUUGGAUAAAAGCAGAUUUCACUGGAUAUAGCUCGGCUAGAAACCGCAAAAAUCUUCUAGUCUUUUAAAAAAAGAAAUUGAUUUAAUCAACUGUGUGGGAAAUGGUCCCGAGCUAUUUUACUUGAAUCCGCUUUUAUAUUGCCAAACUGACAUAUUCAUGAAGAUCUUCUGAUGCACUAUAUUUUUCGGAAUCUUCAAAAGUGUUGAUGGAGAUGAGUGCGUGUAGGAUCCUUCAAAGGCAGUACUUUGGCAGAGUCCGAUCAACAUAUCUGAUGUGUUGUUUGUCAAUCCAUAAGAUAGAGUCAGAGACGGAAGAAUGUUCUACUGACAGUAGAGAAAAAAGGGGUGUACAAAAAGGUUGAAUUGAAUCUUAUGCUAUGUGAGAAAUGUUAUGUGUUUCUCUCGAAUUCUCGGAGGAUAGGCCAAUACUUUGAAAUUUUUAUGUUGAUAAAGUUUACUUAGUAAAAGAAACACUCAUCUAUGCUUACUGUAAUUUCGUAGUUGCUCCAACUAUGAAAUAAUUUUUCUUUAUGUCACAUUUAUACACUCUACACUGUCACCGACAAAAUGCUUUAUGAUGAAAUCACAAACAAAGGUCAGCUGAGACCUGUACAGAAAUAAUCAUGGAGAUCAGGAUUCUAAAAAAGGUUGAAUUUUUUGUGUAGCAUUCAGUGUGAGAUUUCUUGACAAUUGACAUUUUAAGGAGAAGAAGCAGCAUCACUGUUAGCUACUACUACCGUUUUUGAAAGCAUCACCAAGUCAAAAUUAAUCAUCUUUUGUUAUAAACAAGUAGUAUAAAAGAGAUAAAAUGUCCAGUGGAUGAAAGAAUGUCAAUAAAGACGAUACUCCUGUCAGAUAGAAAAUCAACAUUUUGAGGCUUAAUGUAACAAUAUAAUCGGGCAUUUUGUUUAUUGUGGUUAUUGUUAUUGUUUUGUUGUUAUGAUACUGUGUGGCAUAGUGUGUAGAUGGGAGAACUGAAGAAACUGGUUGAAGAGGGUAAAAUCAAAUACAUAGGUUUAUCCGAGGCUUGUGCAACAACAAUCAGAAGGGCACACGCGGUGCAUCCAAUAACAGCUGUUCAGAUGGAGUGGUCUUUGUGGACCAGAGAUCUGGAGGAAGAAAUAGUUCCAACUUGCAGGUAAUGUGUCUCUUAGAGUUCACUCUUUCAGUUAAUAUGAAGGUUCUUCUGAGUAAAUGCCUUUUCCAGAGAAUUAGGAAUUGGAAUUGUUCCGUAUAGUCCUCUUGGACGAGGAUUCUUCUCAGCAGGUCCAGAGUUGAUUGAGAGCUUGGCCGAGGGCGACUUCCGCAAGGUUGGUCUAGUUAAUUGCACUGUCUUCGAUCUUGCGUGAUUUUCAUUUGCAUUUAGCCAUUUACCUCAAUUAGCUGCAUAUCAUAGGCAUCAUUUUCCUUUUAAACCAAAAUUCUGUAACAUGUGUCAUUGGCUUUUUGUGAAACCCUCCAAGCCUCUCCUUGGGAGAGUUCAAUGUUAGCAUCAACGUUGUGACUUUCCUACUCUGAACCAAUGGCUUGCUGAUUAACUGAGCUCGACCAAUCUACCAGUAUUGAUCUUGAUGAGAUUUUGUCAGUAUUGAUGAAUUAAGGUUACGAAACACAUGCUCCCUUUUGAAUAAGGCGAUCUGAAUACAAGAUCAACGAGUCUUAACUUCUAGUGCAAAUUCGGACAUCAAAGAAGAACACUCUUUAUAAAUUAAAAUGCUUAGAGAGUACAAAAAAGGUACUCCUAUCCCACAACGAAUGGCGGAUCACAGUGUCAUGAUCAAUGCAUCCAAAUUUUUGGUAUAUCUGAAUUAUAGAAAUUUUACUAGAAAUCACAAUAUUUAUAACUAGAAUGAUACAAAAGUAGAGUUGUUUAAACGAAGUUGUCAUCAAAGAAAAAACUGUUUUGACUCAUUGGUACUGGGUAACUCUAUCCAUCAAGGCAUAGACAGAUAGAAAGAAAUCACCUAGUGUUUUUUAUUUGAACUUGAACCUCACGGUUCUCAAUCCAGUUUGCCAACUCAUCCUUGUCGCUCGAAAUCUCUUCUGAUACAGCAUGUUAUGAUUAACGUAUAAAACAAUACAUAUGAUCGGUAUGGUUGAUGUAUGUUUCUUUUAUCAUUUGUUUUUUUCCAGAAUAUACCAAGGUUCAAGCCUGAAAAUUUUGAGCAGAACAAGCAAAUAUACGAGCAAGUCAAGGAAACAGCAUCAAGAAAGGGAUGCACCACAUCACAACUUGCAUUGGCUUGGAUUCUUCACAAAGGAGAUGACAUAUGCCCCAUACCCGGUACCACCAAGAUUGACAACCUCAACGAAAAUAUUGAAGCCAUAUCUGUAAACCUGACAACUGAUGAAAUGAAGCAGUUAGAGUCCUGUGCUGCUGAAGAUAUGGUUAAAGGUGAAAGGCACGCAUUCAUGUGGGCAACUUGGAUAAAUUCGGAGACUCCACCAUUGUCCUCCUGGAUAGAUGAAUAAUGGAUACUUUCUCGUCUUGCUUUGGAAGAAGCCCCGUUAAAGCCCAAGUCUAAUUCGAAGUAAAGGCUGAACCCGGGCUAAUGGCAGUUCAGCAUUACUUUCUAGCAGGUUAAAUAGAGACUAGGAUUUACAAAUCUACAAUGUUCUGGACAAAUGUAUAAACACAGUGUGCACACAAUGUAGUUUGCUAGUAGUCUGAAGUUCUUUCGCUAGUGCAUACCUUUAUAUCCAAGUUUUACCUGUAUUUGUGAUGAAAAUUUAUUGUUAUCCCCUGUGUACCUUUGAUCCUUUGAGCGAUAGAGCCCUUCCACACAAGACUCCUGAAUCACUCCAAGUCUCGAUUUUUCAAUGUUAUCAUAUGGUUUAGAAUUGUUUAUGCUUAAUGCAUAUUCAAGUUGUACUUUUUCAUCUGAUACCAUGGCCGCUAAACACUCUAUAAAGUAGAUCAUUUAUACGGUUCUUCUCUAUACUUGAUUUACAUAAAACUUGGAGUAUCUCAAACUGAUAAAUAUUUCAGAGAUUCAAAUCUGCAUCAUCGUAAAUCUAUGCUUUACAUUUUCUACCUAAGUUUUAUAGAUAUGUAUAAGUUCAUGUUAAAGUACCUAAUUUGAUGUAGGCUAUCAAAGGAAUAAGAGAGAAAGUACAAAUAGCUAUCAAGUUGUUAUCCAAAAGUACUACUUGGUGACAUUUUUGAAGAGUCGGAACAACAUAGAUAGCUUUUGUACAUGUACUCAAUACUUAUUAAUGAAGUGAGAUGUAUGUUAUGGAUUGCUCCAAAAUUAUUUAGUACUAAGCUAUCAAAACUUCCAUUCAGUAUUCUAUUGAUUGAUAAUAGGGAGGUAUACUUGUAUUCAACCAACUUUCAAUUGUAUACUUUAUUUGAAUUUUGCAGGUGUAAGAUGAAGGGAAACAACUAUUAUAUUACAAAAAAACAAACAAGAAGCAAUGUUUUGAUAGGUUGUAAAAUAAUAAAGCUGCAUAACAAAGGCAACAAGAAAUCACAGUGAAAGACCAUCUAAAACAUACAGAUAAAGGACAGGGAUUUCAGCUCUAGGUGCACAAUAUACUUGAGCAUGAGCAUGGCUGCAACAAUUGGCUGUACUUCUGCUGCAAUUAUCAAAUUGAAAUACAUCCUCGUUAGUUUGAGAUCAACAUGGAGCAAUUAAGUGAAAGCAAGCAUUAAAUUAGAAGAAGGAACAAGAAAAAAUAUAUACCAUUGUUGUGAUUACAGGCAGGUACAUGUUUGACUCACAGCUGCCAGAUGACCCUAAUUAUAAUUCUGUGUUAUACAUAUUGGUGUCAAGUUAGAUGCAUGUAGAUACUUAAAAACAAAACAUAGGAGUUUGUUUCUACUUACUUCGAUAAUGAGGUCAAUACGGUCGUUUCCUUCAUUCUCUUCAACAUCUUUCUUAAUCCUCUCAGCUGAAUCCUCCAGAGAUUUAUUGCAGUCAAUCAACUUAAUCUGUUUCAGUGUUGGAAUAUCUGCAAAGCUAAGGGGGAUCUCCUCGAGAUUCUUACACCCUCUUAUAACAAGUGUUUCAAGCAGGGGAAAAGAUUCCUCUGAGAUAUCCCACCUCAAAAUAUGUGACGCCGCCAGUUUCAAGACCUUAAGUUUAGGGAACGUGAUAUCUCCAAGGCACCACUCUUCUGAAGGAGGAAAAUACACAUCUUGUAAUUGGAGAUACUCCAGGCUUUGUAGUCCCGCAAUAAGGUUUCCUAUAUCAGUCCCACUUAGUACCAACAUCUUUAAAUUUGAAGGCAAUUGUAACCCAGAUACAGUGCGGCGCCACUUAGAGGUAAGGCGAAGUUUUUGAAGCUGGCUAAGAUUCUUCAAUGUGAGACAAAAAGACUCUGCAGAACAAUUAUCGUCCCCGAAGCGGAUGUGAAGUUGUUGAAGAUUAGGACACCUCCUUGAUAACACAUCCACACUAUCAAUUGGAAAUCUAAAAAUAUUCUUUAAUAUCCUCAAAUUUUCCAAUUUAGAGGUUCCUUCAAUGACCCCCUGCUUAUCAAAUUCAGCAUAUUCGAUCUCAACAUACCUUAAUUUUUCCAUUUCCCAAAAAGACGUUGGUAACACUACUAUAUUUUCCCAAUCAUUAUUCACGAUUAAAGUUUCAAGAUGGGGCAUAUGUGAUUCUGGAUGAAAAUCAAAUUUAAUUGCGAAAACUGCAAGGUACUUCAGAUGAUUUAGUGGUUUGAAACUAGCUGACAAUUUAUACACUCUAUGGGAACUCAAAUCCAAGACCUUAAGAAGUCGCAAUUUAUGAACCUGAAAGAAGGGAAUCCCAUCAAAAUAUUCUCCGUUCGUUAUCAGUGACCUCAACUGUUGGUGGAAAGGUUUCCGUGUUCCCAGAGAUGCAAACUUGGAAUGCUCUUUGACUUUCCUUCCAAUCACAAGGUUUCCGUGUUUUGGAUUCGGUUGGCUUUCCUUCCAAUCACAAGGUUUCCAUGUUUUGGAUCUCAGAGAUGCAAAGUUGAAAUGCUCUUGGACUAUCCUUCCAUUCACAAGGCUUCUGUGUUUUGGAUUCCGUGUUUGGUUGAACCUCACUCGACGUUCCUUCCAAUCACAAGGUUGAAAUUGGCUACGAUUUCCCUUCACAGCCAGCAUAAACUUUUCUUUUCUACUCUUCUCCAAGCAAAAGUGAAGCACUACAUCAUGAACCUGACAGUAUUUAACCUUACCGUUAUAUUCUUUCUUUGAAACCAUUACCACGUUACUGCUAAUGAGAUCCAUCAAGUAAUCUUCAGCAGAUUCAGUGUUCUCCACGAAUCCUUCAGCAAUCCAUAAACUUAUCAAUUUAGAUGCUGGAAUUCUCGCGUCCUCCGAAAACAUCCCCAUAUAAAGAAGGCAAGGCUUUAAAUAAUCGGGUAAGUUAUCAAAACUCAACUGCAUGGUCACCAGACUAUAUUCUUCCGACUCACGAUCAAGACAGUCAAAUAAAGCAUCUUUCACCUCAUUCCACCAAGAUUCUUCCAUUUUCCUUUUUUUAUUAUUCCAGCUACCAAGACAACCACUAGAGGCAAUCCUUUACAUUUUUCUGCAACUGCUUGACUCACAUCUUGUAGUUCAGGCGGACAAUCUUCCUCUUGAAACACUUUCUUCUGCAACAAUUUGCAACUCUCUUCUGUUGUGAGGAAUGGAAGAGAAUAAGGAUCAGUAUGGCACGUGACUUGCUCACCCACUUUCUCAAGUCGAGUUGUUACUACUAUUCUGCUUCUAUUUCCAACGUCUGGAAAACAAAGCCUUAAGUCAUCCCAUUCCAUACAAUAAUCCCACAUAUCAUCCAAUAUAAUGAGAUAUCUCUUUCCCAUUAGACUUUUCCUCAACAUGUCGGCAAGGAUGUCAUCCUUAUCUCCCUUGUCCUUGGAACCGGUAACUUGACUAAAAAUCUCCUGUAAUAGCGUUCUCCGGUUAUAUGUUUGUGAAACGAUGCACCAUGCUCGAACAUCAAAAUGAGAAACAAUGUUAUCACUAUUGUACACCUUUCUAGCAAUUGUCGUUUUCCCUUGUCCCCCCAUGCCUACAAUUGGGAUGACGUCUAGCUCAUUUGUACCUCUAAUCAGAUACUGAAUCAUUUUUUCAGUGUCAUUCCCAAAACCCACUAUCUCCUCAUCAGUCAUUGGAUUGAUAUGUCUAGUUGAUAGGUGUUUAAAUGGUGCUACCACAUAGCAAGGCUUAAGAGCAACGUCUGUUGAACAAAUCUCAGUCACAUGCGCAUUAAUUUGCUUGAUCUCUUUUGAGAUUGUAGGAAGUGAGCAAAAAUAUGCCAAAAACAUUAUACUGAGCAAGAAUAGAGUCAAUGGCAACUUCAGCUUCAUAUGCCAAAUUGAUAGUACGCCUGUGAAGAUCAUGAAGAAUUUCAUUCUCAUGGUGUACCUUGGAGACAUUUCUGAAAAUGGAUGAUAAAGAUGACAGAUCCUUCUCUAAAAUGGAUGUAAGAGCUGAUAGCUCUUUCUCCAAAUUCCCCAAAAGAGGUUUCAUCAGGAAAUCUAAACCAGAUUUAGAUUUCGACAUCUCAUUCAGUUUCCGUAUAAGAGAAUCCAGAAAGCUCCAUCCACCAACAGUGGGGAAUUGAGAUGGAGUGAAUUUUAAGGAUUUAUAGUACGUCUCCACUUGUGUCUUCAGAUCUUUAGUUUUCUUCAAUAUAUGUAUGGACCAAAGACUCAUUUUUCUGGUGUCAUCUUUGUUUAUAGAUCUAGGAAGAACCUUUUGAAUUGCACAUAGAAUAUCACCCACUAUAACUCCAACCUUUUCCAUAGCAUCAUUCAACCAGUUACCAUUAAUAACAUGAUUUGACACAUCAGCUUCAAGGAAAACAACCAAGAACUCUAUUAUUGCUACAUAAAUAUUUUGAGCAGUGUUAUAAUUAGGAAAGUUCUCGACCUUUUUGUUUCUAAGAAACAUCAACAGACUAUGGAAAUGAUGAGAAAAUCCUUUUGGUAAUUUCCUGUCCUUGAAAGUUCUUGAAUGAGUAAACUUUGAAGCCUUUAGCUCAGAGCGAAAAAUCUUCUUCAUUUCCAGCUCUACUAACACAAUCAAGAAUAAUAAAUAAGGAGGUUUAUUCAAGAUAUCAUACUCAUCCUCAUCCUCAUCCUCAUCCUCAUCUUUAUCAUCUACAAAAUUAGAAACAAUGUAACCUGAAAUAGCAAGACAAAGUUGUCCCACAUUGUUAGCCAUGAAAUGCAUUCGAGUCUCCAAACAUUCUAGCUUCUCAUGGUUGACGUAGCCCUUUAUCUCUGUGGCAUAUAAGUAAAUCAAAAAUUUAAGUUUCUUUUGAACAAUUUCUUGCUGCUUUAUAAAUUUGUGUAUUUCAAGGUUUUCUUCAGGAGGGAAAAACCUAACCCCUUCCAGUAACAUCACCAGUACAUCAUUUAGAUUUUUUCCGAGACAAUCCAUAUAUUUCGACAGAUCAAAAUCAUUCAACUUGUUAUUGUCACUUAAACUGGUAUUACCUUGAAAGAAUUUCAACAAAUGUGAUUCUAACCUUUCCAGAUUAAGCUUAGUUUUGCAUUCAUCUGGAAUCCCAUCCAAUACCCGUUGAAGCAUUUCCACUGUCGAUUUGGCCUUCUUUGUGAGUUCCACCAAGGAAUCAUGCAAAAGAUCAACAUGAUGAUACUCUAUAAUGGUUCUAAAAACUCUUAGCACCACUUCAAGUUUCUCAAUUCUCUUAAUCUUGUAGCUACUCAGAUUACCUCCAUUCUUGAUCCAUCUUAGGUGAUCUAACAUUUCCUCAAUUUCAUUUUGAACCAUUUUCGGUGAAACAGUACCUAAUUUCAAUUUCAUUUUGAGCCACUUUUGUAGAAAAAUUCCUGCAAGUUCACCAACUCGGAAUUAGAUUGAUUAAGAGAAACAUUUUAAUUCAUCUGGUGUUUGGAGCUAUGUUAAUUUAGCUUGUGAAAGAUUAUACAUCUUAUGUACCAUUUCUUCUAACAAAUGGCGCAUAUAUAUUUAGCAUUUUCAUAUAGUCACUUAACUAAUAGUUAUUAUCUCAUAAAAUCACUUAACUUAACUAAGCCUUUUGAGCGGACCAUUUGAGAAAUCAACUCUCUGUCUAUAGGAAAAAAGUAAUUCAUGAAGAAGAUGACUUAUACAGUUAGUUAAUAAGUGAAACCAACUUGUAAUUUUUUCUUCUCUUAUGCCUCUUUGUAUCUUCAAUUUUCGGAUCCAAUCAUUAAAAGAACAAAUAUGAUUAUAAUUAAUAUUGAAAACAUGUUUCCCUAUAGAAAAACUAUUUAAAUGAUUCUAGAGAUGUGACAUUGAGCCAAACUCAACCCCUAAAGUGUAACUCAUUAGGAAGGAUUAUUUAAGUACAUAUGAGCAAAUUACCAGUCUGUUUCCCGAUCAAUGUGGGACUAUAACACCCCUGUUUAUAUUCAGACCCAACUGGAGCAUGGAUCAUGUGUCCAAACGAGAAUGGAUCUUGCUAUGAUACCUUAGAAAAAUAUGACACCAAGAUAUAACUCAAUCUAAAAAGCUAAAAGUUUUAUAUACCAAUACGAGUCUACUGUACUCGUGUCUUGUAUAAUUUGUUUCUCCUUUUUCAUUCCUUCUUUCGUUUACUUGGCUGUAGGAUAGACUUGGUUGAAUGGAAAAGAAUUUGUUAGCUUUAUUCAUUAUGACUUGUGUAUUGAAUUCCUCGUCAAACUAAGACACUUAAAUUAGGAAGAGAGGGUAUAUAUAUUCAGAGGAUACGGAAUUCCUUGAAGUAUGAAAAUAAAUUAUUAAUCAAUGGAACUCACCUCAAUCUUAACUUAUCAAAUCUCCUGUUGCUCCUGAGUAGCUCAGUGGUUGAUCGAUCGAUUGUUAACUGAUUGGUCGUAGUUCCGAAUCCUAUAUGGCACAAGGUGUUGUCUAGUACAGAGAGAUGGGUGAGGAGAUCAAACAAUAAUUAGAGUUGGCAAUGGCUCAAACAGACUGGAAUGUGUAUUGUAUGAGUUCUGAAUUAUUGCAUUAUUAAUGGUAGAUAAACAACAAUCAGUGCUUUAUUAAUUCAUGUUCCGUUUAUAAAAAAAAAUGUUUGUGAUUAAAAAAAUUUCAAAUACACAAAAUCUUUCUUUUUGAGUUCGGCAUUAUUAUUGAAGAGAAAAGGAGAAAGCAGAGAGCACUAAGGGAAAAAGUGAAAACAUUCCAUCAACUUUCCAAUACAUACACUUUUCUUUUUGACCCCAAGUCUUCUCCGUGGGCCCGGCCGAUGUCUUCUUAAAUUAGAAUAUAAAAAGAUAUUUAAAUAAUUUUAAGGCACAUGUAAAGCUAGUAAAGAAUGCGAAGAUGCCAUUGCCAAGACUAAGGGAACAAUACGUUUGGAGUUGAUGAUCAAUAACACAUACAUUUGGUAGCGCAAAGGAUCAGUGUGAACAUCUAUUGUGUUUUCUGUAACGGAUCUUGGAAUUUGGGUCGUAACACAAUCUAGUCUCCUACUGUCAAGUAAAUGAAAGAAUAAAAAAGGACAAUAUGUGGGGCAGUAGUGAAAAAAAAUAUUUCAAUAGCUGCCACAAAUUACAAUAAUUCAACAAUAACAAACUUCAAAAUUUUAAGUGCACAGCAAAAUUUUUGUAGUUGAGUUUAUUUUGCAACUCUAACUUGUCAUGGCAAAGAGACAGCCUCAGUGAAGAAAUUUUCCUGUUUCUCCAAUGUUAGUUAGAGAGUCUGUUAUGAGACAACGACUAAUGAAAGCAAUAACAACGAAAAGAAAGAGUCAAUUUCCUAUGCAAUCUUACCGAAUGAGCAAAUCAUUGUUCAUGAACAAAAUCUCAAAAUAUCCUAAAGCUCCGCAUUGAUGAAUCACAUAUAUCCAUGACAUACAUGGGUAAGACAGGAAAGAUCGAUAUUAUGGCUCAGUACAAACGUUAUAUUAAUUGACUUUUUCACAAAAAAUGAUCUGUUCAAAAAAUAAAACACAUGAAAUCCUUGUAGAGUAGAGUUAGUUUUCUUCUUUUCAAAUUGUAAAUGGUCAUUUCCUAAGAAGAACAUAACAGAAAGCAAGAAAAUGUCUUGCCCACUCAUUUUACAUAAAAAUGAAAUAGAGAAAGUUGUUGUACAACAUCAUCAAUUAGCUUUAUGAUCUUCAACCAAAAUAAACUCAAAACUAAAUUAAAAAUGUAAAUGUUAGAUGGAAAAAAAAACUAGAAUAAUCCAAAACAAUCAUAUACGUAGUCUUCAAACUGGAAAAGGAAAAAAAAAAACAAAGAGAGUUUACUUUUUAGCUUUAAAAAACUAGUAUGAAAUUUACUUCCUUAUGUACAAAUUUGAGUUUCUAAGAGGCAAAAUAAUGGUGACAAAAAUCCUUUUAAGUCAAUCUUCAGCUAAAGUGCUUCCUCCCAUUUUGUUAUUGACUUGAUUUCUUACAUCCACAUUUGCAGUUUUCAAGUUCUGUAUUCAGAUUCUGCAUAAGAAUAAGAAAAUGUGAAAAAUAUAUUUCUACUACUUGAAUCACACAGCUAUAAAGGUGGGGAGAGAAAAUUUAUCAUUUUUUUUGCAAAAUAUAUUAGACAUCAUCUAUCCCAAAAACAUUAAGGUUAAAUUGUUACGGUUUUGGUGUAAACAUCAUGUGAGAAUAUAAGAUAUGUUGCUCGGGCCAAAAUUGUUGUACUAGUGUUCGAUCAUAGCUUUUGGAGGAUUUAACUGUCUCUUUGAAGAGUCCGAGGAACAUAGAGUAUAAGUAAUUUAGGUAAAGCGCCAAAGCAGUAAGGUUGAUCAAUUUAAUCACUCACCUGAACCUGAUCUUGAAGGGUUCGAAUGUGCUGUACUGCUAGAUCCCGCAUGUCAGCGUAGCUCGUUUGCUGCAAAAACAAACAAGGAAAUAUUGUUAAUAUUGGAGUGUAGCUCGUUUUCUGCGAUAAAAUUUGCAGCUCAAGCAUGUUGCAAUAAGUGCCAACUGAGAAAAUAUUGUGAAGUGGAACAUAAGAAAAGAAAGCAUACAAUCAAGAUUACUGAAAGACUAGUUUUUUGUUUACACAAAUCUAUAAAUAUUCAAUAAAUUGAUGGUUUAACAGCAUUUUAGCACGUCAAGUAACAAUUAUCCAAUUGAAUAGAAGUCUUGGAAGUACCAUUUGCCACUUCCAAUUCUUGUCAAUUUCUUAAAAUAAAAUUUAAGUAAUAAGAAAUAUGACUUACAUGUAAAUAAAUAAAUAAAAAUUAUACCUUUCCGCCAAUAAUCUUGCGGGAGCCUAUUUAGAAUUUUUCUCACUAAAUUACUAGAUUGAAAUUCAAUUUGUUUAUCAAAUUAAUAUCACCGUUCAACAAAAAAACACCUACAAUAAAAUAAUCAAAUCUCAUAUAAGUAAAACAAAAAAAUUAAAGCAAUAUAUAAGCUAUCAAAUGCUAUUUUAGAAAGUUAUAAAAAAGACUCUGAUUUUUGGUUACAAAGAUGAACAUGCUUCACCUAGUUAAUCCCUAGCCCAAUUAUACAUAUAAAUAUAAUCAUUUCUUUUGUAACACAAUUUUC
rnacentral:lncRNA from 1 species